CUCCAGAUGAUCUGUCCACCCUGGCCUCCCAAAGUGCUGGGAUGACAGGUAUGAGCCCAGCCCUAAAAUUUACUUUUUAAAUGAUUUUAAGUAUAUUCACAAGUGUGAUUGAUUACAAAUAAUUCCAGAACUUUUUCAUCACCCUGGAAAGAAACCCCAUGCCUGUUAGACACUCCUCAUUCCCCCAAAUCCUUCAGUCCUAGUCAAUCACUAAUCUACUUGCUAUAGAUUGCCUAUUAUGGACAUUUCAUAUAUUAAUAAAUAGAAUCAUAUGUAACCGUUCGUGCAUGGCUUCUUUCACUUAGCAUAAUGGUUUUAAGAUUUAUCCAUGUUGGAGCAUGUAUGAGUAUUUCAUUACUUUUCACUGCUAGAUAAUAUUCCAUUGUGUGGAUAUACCACAUUUUACCCAGCCAUUUGUCAGUUGUUAGGUAUUUGAGUUGCUUCCCUUUUUCAUCAUUGUGAAUGAUGUUGCUGUGAACAUUUUGUGUGGACAUAGAUUUUUAUUUCUCUUGGGUAUAUACUUAGGAGUGGAAUUGCUGGAUUGUAUGGUAACUCUGCAUAACAUUUUGAGAAACUGUUUAUAAAUUGUUUUCCAAAGCAGCUGUACCACUUUGUGUAAAGUGGUAUUUUAUUGUGGUUUUGAUUUGGCCCAAAUGAGUUACAUAGAAAAGAUCAGAGUAGAUGGAGAUAGGUUUCUCAGAAGAGGUUGGAAUUUGAACUGCUAGAAAGGGGAGAUUUGGAGAAUGGAGAGGGAUUACCAAAGGAAGAAGAGUGGAAGUUAUAUGACUUAGAAAUGAGGAUAAACCCGUCUCGUUUUAAGUAUAGAGGAGCGAUCUCAGCUUAUGAUAGCUCUACUCUAGUCUGUUUUGACUGUUCUUUAAAGGAUCCCUUUGCCAAAAUGCGCAAGAGGGUUGCUUUUCUUGAGGCCUGUCGUAUAGCGCAGUUGACAUAUCUCUCUGGUUUGUGAUGAGACCAAGAGUUGGAAUGUGACUUCCUUUCCAGGCCUUCUCCCUCUACUGCCUCUUCCCCUCUUCCAUUUCUCCACCACAGUGCUGUCUUCCCAGUCUCCAAAGGUGAAUGUAGAAAGACUUAGAGUGGUGGAAUAAAAUUCUCUUUGAAGACCAAGCUUUCCCUUAUUAGUGCUCAGUCAGCCACUUGAAUUUUCAUGACUUUUCUGGAAAAUAUGUUGCUGCUACUCCAUCAUUCUUCUCUUAGCCAUUGUAGUAAACUUAGAGGGGAUUGUAUAGCAGAUAGGAAGGUGGAAACAGGAGGUAAGACCUGGAGGAUUGCUCUAGGAAACUAUGUUUGCAUCCAGUUACUAAAUCUGUGUAAGUUCCUGGUUGGAGUUCCGGUUGCAGUUGCAAAGGCCCAGCCUUUUUCCUGGCCCUGGGGAGAACUAAUCUCUGGGUUCCUAAAAUCCUUUUUGCUUAAAAGGGCUUUGUGGGGACAUGGAAAAAUGAGGAAGAAAAAUAAACAAAAUGAAGUUGUUUUGCUCUCUACUUUUACUGAAAUUAGUACCCAUUCUUUCUAAGUAUUCAGGACUUGAAAACAGCCAAAUAAAAUAAGAAAAGAUAUAUUAAAAAAUACGUGUGUGUGUGUGUGUGUGUGUGUACACACACACACACACACACACACACACACACACACAUGUUCCUAUAGAAAAGAAAGGUGUCAUUCCAAAAUUUCACUUGUAAGUUGGUUAUGGCAUUUAGAAUGUAUUUUCCGCUUAGAGAUACUGUUACGUACAAAUCAGUGACUGUUGAGGGCAAGGGCAUUCCAGGUAGAGGGAAUUGUGCAUGCAAAAGUCAUAGGGAGAUAAAAGGUAAAGCUGAAAUACAGGAUAUGAGGAUAAAGAUUAUAGGAGAGGAAGCUGAAGAAGUAGGCAUGUGCCAGUGGGACAUGAUGCCACUGAAGGGUUGAACUGGGGAUGUGAUGUGAUCGGAUUUUGGUUUUAGGUAGAUUAUCCUGGCAGUAGUAGUUUAGAGCAGGGAUAUCUCUGGCUUGUACAAGAUGAUCCAUUGGAACGUGAGAAGACUAUAUUAGAAAUUGCAAUUAUUUUUAUAUCAACCUUCAAAGUUGUUUUUGUAUUUUUAAUGUAUGUAUUAGUAUAGUAAGACAUUAUUAUAAUUCAUGGAUAUUUGUCAGAUCUAUGUUCACUUUUUUACUGACAGGAAGAACGCAUGAAAAAAAAUGGGAGGCCACUGGAUUGUGGAACUGUAUAAUCGUUUGUACUGCUUAAGUUCAAGGACCAGAUUAAGGUUUUGGCAUUGUAAAGGAAAGGAAUGAUGGGUUGGCAUGGUGGCUCAUGCCCGUAAUGCCAGCAUUUUGAGAGGCCCAGGGGGGUGGAUGGCUUGAGUCUAGGAAUUUGAGACCAGCAUGGGCAGUAUGGUGAAACUCUCUCUACAAAAAAGUACAACAAUUAGCUAGGUGUGGUUGCAUGUAUCUGUGGUCCCAGCUACUUGGAAGGCUGAGGUGGGAGGAUCACUUGACCUCCCACAGAGCUCAGGAGACAGGUUACAGUGAGGCAGGAUCGUGCCACUGCAUUCAAGCCUGGGUGACAGAAUGAGACCUUGUCUCAAGAAAAAAAAAAAAAAGAUGGAUUUGAGAGAUUUUAAGUAGGAAUGACAAGACUUGGUGACAAAUUACAUGUAAGAGACAGAAGAAGAAUCAAAAAUGAUGUGCCCAGGUUAUCAGAGUUAUGUUACAAAUGGAGUCUUUGUGAGGU